rnacentral:tRNA from 1 species
CUAAGGAAGAUCAAGUUGUUUGACGCUUUCAGCGACACAACACGAUUACGGAAGCACGUUUGGGCUCUUUAUUUAGUUUUGAGAGGUCUUUGUAGGGCCUUAGCUCAGCUAAGCGACAACGAAUGUUGGAGCUUUGUCGAAACUAGCGGAGCUAGAGUACGACAGGGAACAGCGAAAGACAACAAAGACAUACUAAACAAAGCACUAAUAAUGUAUUAACCCGUUUAUUAGUCGGGGCCUUAGCUCAGCUGGGAGAGCGCCUGCUUUGCACGCAGGAGGUCAGCGGUUCGAUCCCGCUAGGCUCCAUUAUCUAGGCUAGAAAGAGAUGAUCGGUUUACCGAAGCAAUUAAUCUCGUGUUCGACUAGAUAACUGAUAUUUGAAUACGAACCUAAACUUACUAGAAAUAAGUCAAAACCAUCUCGUGUCAAAAGGCACGUCACUAGUUUAUUCCUUAUUUUACGCAAGUUUUACGACAAGUCGUAACGGUUCUUAAUAUCAUGAUAGUCCAUUGAAAAUUGAAUAUCUAUAUCAAAUUCCACAAUCAAUAAAAAAAAUGAUUGUAAGAAUAGUAACAAGAAAAUAAACCGAAAACGCUGUAAGUAUUUAAUGAGUUUAGAUCGCAAGAUCAAAAAUAA